AGUGAACGCUGGCGGUAGGCCUAACACAUGCAAGUCGAACGGCAGCACAGUAAGAGCUUGCUCUUACGGGUGGCGAGUGGCGGACGGGCGAGGAAUACAUCGGAAUCUACUUUUUCGUGGGGGAUAACGUAGGGAAACUUACGCUAAUACCGCAUACGACCUACGGGUGAAAGCAGGGGAUCUUCGGACCUUGCGCGAUUGAAUGAGCCGAUGUCGGAUUAGCUAGUUGGCGGGGUAAAGGCCCACCAAGGCGACGAUCCGUAGCUGGUCUGAGAGGAUGAUCAGCCACACUGGAACUGAGACCCGGUCCAGACUCCUACGGGAGGCAGCAGUGGGGAAUAUUGGACAAUGGGCGCAAGCCUGAUCCAGCCAUACCGCGUGGGUGAAGAAGGCCUUCGGGUUGUAAAGCCCUUUUGUUGGGAAAGAACAGCAGCAGGUUAAUACCCCGCUGUUCUGACGGUACCCAAAGAAUAAGCACCGGCUAACUUCGUG
rnacentral:rRNA from 1 species